UUAUUUGCAAGGUUGUGAAAAUAUGCUUUAAAUAAAUUGCUUGACAUGACUUUAAAAUUAACAUUAGCUUUACAUGACUUUAAAAUUAACAUUAGCUUUACAUUAGCUUUACAUGAUCUUAUUUGCUUGACAUGACUUUAAAAUUAACAUUAGCUUUACAUGUUGUUAUAUCAAAAGUAUCGAAAGAUGGCUUUUCACUAAUCGAAUGUGUGAUGAUAAAAUCAAGUAAAAUAUGAAUACGAGUUAACUCAUACAACACUUGAAUCGGGUA
rnacentral:lncRNA from 1 species